AGAAUGGAGCGUCAUAGAGGGUGAGAAUCCCGUCUCUGGCAUGGACUUCCGGUGCUUCUGUGAUGCGCUCUCAAAGAGUCGAGUUGUUUGGRAAUGCAGCUCAAAAUGGGUGGUGAACUCCAUCUAAAGCUAAAUAUUGGCGAGAGACCGAUAGCGAACAAGUACCGUGAGGGAAAGAUGAAAAGCACUUUGGAAAGAGAGUGAAACAGUACGUGAAAUUGUUGAAAGGGAAACGCUUGAAGUCAGUCGCGUCGACCGAGACUCAGCCUCGCCUUGGCUUGGUGUACUUCUCGGCUGACGGGCCAGCAUUGAUUUCGUCCCUCGGAUAAUGGCGAGAGAAAGGUGGCACCCCUCGUGGGUGUGUUAUAGUCUCCUGUCGCAUACGAGGGAUGGGAUCGAGGACCUCAGCAUGCACCUCUCGGUGCCGGGGCUUUGGCCCACGAUACGUGCUUAGGAUGUUGGCGUAAUGGCUUUAAACGACCCGUCUUGAAACACGGACCAAGGAGUCUAACAUGCCCGCGAGUGUUCGGGUGGAAAACCCGUGCGCGAAAUGAAAGUGAAAAGUUGGGACCUCUGUCGUGGAGGGCACCGACGCCCGGACCAGACCUUCUGUGACGGAUCUGCGGUAGAGCGUGCAUGUUGGGACCCGAAAGAUGGUGAACUAUGCCUGAAUAGGGUGAAGCCAGAGGAA
rnacentral:rRNA from 2 species